GGAAUAACGGAUGGUUCCGGAUCGGCAUUUCGCUUUCCGGAUGAAAAGGGAAUGUGACGGGGUGGACCCACACCGGGCGCCUUCAUCACAGCCGACCCCGCGACUGUAGGGCGGUAAGGGUCUUCCAUCCGGCAUCGAACCCCUUCCGGCCUAGCCGCAAUCGUGCGGGCGGACAGGAUGGGCGACGUGCCGGAAAAGCCACUGGAAAUGCAUGGUGAUC
rnacentral:ncRNA from 2 species